GGUGAACGCUGGCGGCGUGCCUAAGACAUGCAAGUCGAGCGGGGCAGGUUUAUACCUGUUCAGCGGCGGACGGGUGAGUAACGCGUGGGUGACCUACCCGGAAGAGGCGGACAACCUGGGGAAACCCGGGCUAAUCCGCCAUGUGGUCCUGUCCUUUGGGGCAGGACUAAAGGGUGGAUAGCCCGCUUCCGGAUGGGCCCGCGUCCCAUCAGCUAGUUGGUGGGGUAAAGGCCCACCAAGGCGACGACGGGUAGCCGGUCUGAGAGGAUGGCCGGCCACAGGGGCACUGAGACACGGGCCCCACUCCGACGGGAGGCAGCAGUUAGGAAUCUUCCGCAAUGGACGGAAGUCUGACGGAGCGACGCCGCUUGGAGGAGGAAGCCCUUCGGGGUGUAAACUCCUGAACUGGGGACGAAAGCCCUGUGUAGGGGGAUGACGGUACCCAGGUAAUAGCGCCGGCCAACUCCGUG
rnacentral:rRNA from 1 species